rnacentral:rRNA from 1 species
UACGAAGGGGGCGAGCGUUGUUCGGAUUUACUGGGCGUAAAGGGCGCGCAGGCGGCGCAUUUUGUCAGGCGUGAAAGCCCCGGGCUUAACCUGGGAACUGCGUUUGAUACGGAUGGGCUAGAGUUCGGGAGAGGAGAGUGGAAUUCCCAGUGUAGAGGUGAAAUUCGUAGAUAUUCGCAAGAACACCAGUGGCGAAGGCGGCUCACUGGCCCGGUACUGACGCUGAGGUGCGAAAGCGUAGGGAGCAAACAGG